GAGGGUAUAGCUCAGUGGUAGAGUGCAUACUUAGCAUGCACAAGGUCCUGGGUUCAAUCCCCAGUACUGCUA
rnacentral:tRNA from 1 species